UGGGGCUCAUUCAUUUGACACAACAGUGAAAGUUUCAGCAUUCUGAUUGGGCUCUUUUCAUUGUCUGCAAAUGAAAUUAUUGGAAUUUGGGAACAUGAGGUGUAAUUCUUUUCAUCGCGGAUAAUGUUGGAGCUUUGAGUAUCUGUUGAAACAACAUUUUUUUUAACAAAAAGAAAAAUCCAUUUUCGAUUUCUUGAUUUAAAUUUUAGAAUGAUAUUUAUUUAUUAACUUUUUUUGUUGACCGGACGAGCCUUGAAUUUUGUGAUUUUGGCCAUCGUUUAGGGUAAAAAUUCAAGAAAGUGCAACAUACUUUCACGUAAAGUACAUAUGUGUGUACAAAUAUCCAGUUGAUUUUUCAAUGUAACAAACUUAUUUAGGGUUAAAUACCAACAUACUUUCAUUGAAAACUAAAAACUCAGUAUUUAAGGUUGAAAGAAGUUAGAAGAAUAAAAAUGUAUGGUUAAAAAAACAUCAUUGAAUGUAUUGUGCUAGAACUUGGUAGAGUUUUCAAGGUAACAAACUUAUUUAGGGUUAAAAACCUGUUGGAAUAAUUUAUAAAAUAGCAGCACAUUUUCAAGGAAACGGUACAAUGCUAAGAUAUAACAACAUACUUUAAGUGCAAUGCUAUAAUAGGCAAAAAAAGGUUACAUGUGAGACUGAAGAAGCACGAGGAGGCAGAUUUAGAUCCUUUGUGCCUGAUUGAAAUUUCCUCAUCAUUUCAGUCACAAAAACAAAUGGAGUCUGUGCAUGUUCACAAACAUACAUCUGUUCGUUUAAAGAAGAAAUUUAUGUCUUUUACACAAAAAGUUAAUGCCAUCAACUUUGUUAUUAUAUACAAAUAAGAUUAUAUUGGCAUUAUGUGAAAUAACCACCGUACCCUUCAUUGAGAAGUCAUUUUUAGAUUGUACAAUAUUAAAUAAAUACUCGGUUAAACCGGUUACAUAAUAAUAUGACAAUUUAUAUUAUGUUAAAUUACAUUUAAAGUCCCUCUGUAUUAGUGAAAGUUACUAUCCUUUAAAAAACUAUUUUUUCACUCGAACCUUUUUCUGUAAGUAUUAUUGUCCCUUAUUAGUGAUAUACAUUUACGAUCAUUCCCUUAUUUGUUUUUUUUUUUAAAAUACAAACAAUAUUUGAAAUUUAUUUCAUAAAACAUAAAAUGAUUAUCGUCUAAUAAAAUACUAAAUUCAUCACCUUUUUCAUUUUCGGAUUCAGCUUCUUUGAAUUCAUCCUCAUCCACAUUCUCUUAUCUCGUUACACCGGAACCACCUUCCCCCUUCCCUAAUAUUUCCAGUUCAUGAUCAUAAUCAUAAACAUAUUUGAUAAAUCCAAAAGUAGUAAUUUUCUGCUUUUCCUUUUUUUUUUUUUUUUUUUUUCAGAUUCACAGCUUUCUACUGUUGCUUCUUUUGCACUUGAUUCCCCAUCAUCACAGGAACCACCUUUCUCAGCCUGUUGCUUCCCUUUUUCCAAUUCAUCGGGUUCCAUCAGCAUGGCUUCUUCUGCUUCCUUACGUUCAAAAUACUCAUACCAACAACGUUGGUUAAACUCCUGCACAAAAUUCCUCUUGUGCUGUAGAACAUCCGCAGGCUGCAUUCAUACAACAAAUUAAAA
rnacentral:lncRNA from 1 species